rnacentral:rRNA from 1 species
GUCUGACCUCGGAUCAGGUGGGAUUACCCGCUGAACUUAAGCAUAUCAAUAAGCGGAGGAAAAGAAACUAACAAGGAUUCCCCUAGUAACGGCGAGUGAAGCGGGAUGAGCUCAAAUUUGAAAUCUGGUAGUCUUUGGCUGCCCGAGUUGUAAUCUAGAGAAGUGUUUUCUGUGCUGGACUGUGUACAAGUUUCCUGGAUACGGAACAUCAUAGAGGGUGAGAAUCCCGUCCUUGACACAGGCUCCCAGUGCUUUGUGAUGCGCUCUCAACGAGUCGAGUUGUUUGGGAUUGCAGCUCAA